ACAACAUGCACAGGGAAGACCGCACAGAGUUAGUUUAACCUAAGAUACACCUGAACUAGUGGCGCUGUGGUGCAAAAAGAGCUCUCCAAUCUACCUGGGAGAUAGGUGAUCCUGUUCUGUGGACUGAAUUUUCCCAUUUUCUAGUUCAAUGCUUGCUUCUUUUGGUACUGAACAUGAAUCUGAAGGGAUGUUAAUGCCUGCAAAACCAACCAUGACAGCUGCAGCUCCAAUGUAAUCCAUGAUGGGGGGUGCAUUUCCUGUCAGUGAAUCCACAAUUGCUGCUAGAGGAACCUGAAUGGUCAGUCCUGCUGUCGCUACUGUUGUGGAGGUCAACAGAAUAGCCUUGGCCCACAGUAAAUCGCUCAGCACAUUAUCAAACAUACCUUUACCAACUAUCAAGCCAAGUUGCUUCCAAGUGAGCGUGUUAAAUGGCUCAAGGUUAGCAAAGUUGAGUACAAGAGGUAUGGGUAAGAAUAUGAGCAUGUUGAAUAAACCCAAAUAUCCAAGAAACUGUGCCAUACUAGCAUGACCACUUUUCCCAUCAUCAUCAGGUAACUUUUUACGAAUAAGGGUUAUAUAAACAGCAUACAUAGCAGCUGAGACAAGAGAAAGAAUGUCACCAAGAACGGGAUUCAAAGCCACUUUGCUAGACCCUGAUUUUGAGUCACCCAAGCUCACAAUGAUUGUUCCUCCCAUACAAAGUAGAACACUGAACAGCUUCACCCAAGUAAAAACUUCUCCCAAGAAUACAAGAGACACCAAAAAAGUAAACAAGCUGGAGGAACUGCUUAAGAUGGUAUUCG
rnacentral:misc_RNA from 1 species